AUCACUUCUCAGCAUUUUGGCUAAGAUCAGGUGUAGUAUCUUUUUUUACCAGUUUAAACAGUAAAUGAGAAGAUUGUGUCUUAUUGUAAUAAAUUGCUAGACUUCUACAUUGUCACUCAGUAUUUACAUCAUAGUGCAGUUCAUCUCACAGUGUAGCACAUUUUUCCAUGUGACAUGUUUUAAUU